rnacentral:rRNA from 1 species
GACGAACGCUGGCGGCGUGCCUAAUACAUGCAAGUCGAGCGGACCGAACAGGAGCUUGCUCUUGUUCGGUUAGCGGCGGACGGGUGAGUAACACGUGGGUAACCUGCCCGUAAGACCGGGAUAACUCCGGGAAACCGGAGCUAAUACCGGAUAACACCGAAGACCGCAUGGUCUUUGGUUGAAAGGCGGCUUCGGCUGCCACUUACGGAUGGGCCCGCGGCGCAUUAGCUAGUUGGUGAGGUAACGGCUCACCAAGGCGACGAUGCGUAGCCGGCCUGAGAGGGUGACCGGCCCCACUGGGACUGAGACACGGCCCAGACUCCUACGGGAGGCAGCAGUAGGGAAUCUUCCGCAAUGGACGAAAGUCUGACGGAGCGACGCCGCGUGAGCGAAGAAGGUCUUCGGAUCGUAAAGCUCUGUUGUUAGGGAAGAAGAAGCGUCGUUCGAACAGGGCGGCGCGGUGACGGUACCUAACGAGAAAGCCCCGGCUAACUACGUG